AACGAACGCUGGCGGCAUGCCUAACACAUGCAAGUCGAACGUGAUCCGGAGCUUGCUCCGGUGAAAGUGGCGCACGGGUGAGUAACGCGUGGGAACCUGCCCAGAGGUAGGGAAUAACCGCGGGAAACUGCGGCUAAUACCCUAUAUUCCCUUCGGGGGAAAGAUUUAUCGCCUUUGGAUGGGCCCGCGUCGGAUUAGCUAGUUGGUGAGGUAACGGCUCACCAAGGCGACGAUCCGUAGCUGGUCUGAGAGGAUGAUCAGCCACACUGGGACUGAGACACGGCCCAGACGCCUACGGGAGGCAGCAGUGGGGAAUAUUGGACAAUGGGCGCAAGCCUGAUCCAGCAAUGCCGCGUGAGUGAUGAAGGCCUUAGGGUUGUAAAGCUCUUUCGGCGGGGAAGAUGAUGACGGUACCCGCAGAAGAAGCCCCGGCUAACUUCGUGCCAGCCGCCGCUGUAACAC
rnacentral:rRNA from 1 species